rnacentral:rRNA from 1 species
CCUGGGGCUGGAGAAGGUCCCAAGGGUUCUGGAGUUCACAGAUUAAAGCGGUACGCGAGCUGGGUUUAGACCGUCGUGAGACAGGUCGGUCCCUAUCUGCCGUGGGUGUAUGAUAUUUGAGGAGAUCUGUCCUUAGUACGAGAGGACCGGGAUGGACGUACCUCUGGUGCACCAGUUGUCGUGCUAACGGCAUAGCUGGGUAGCUACGUACGGAAAGGAUAAAUGCUGAAAGCAUAUAAGCAUGAAGCCUACUCCAAAACUAUAUAUCAUUUUCCUUUAUGGAUGAGAGACACCUUGAAGACUACGAGGUUGAUAGGCCAGAGGUAUAAGUAUAGUAAUAUACUAAGCUGACUGGUACUAAUUAGUCGAAAAGCUUGACUU